CAGAACCAAAGGAGGGACUGGCAUCCAUCUGGCUUUUGAGCAAUGGAUCUUUGAGCUCAGAACACACCAGCACCAUCUGGCCAGCACUCCCUCUGCACUGAAGAGUGCCUCAGGGAGAAGGAAUCUGUGUGACCAUCAAGCAUGGCCCACUCUGUUUGAACUUGAGUUUCUCCUUGACUCUCAGCCUCCCACAUGUUGCAGUUCAGUGUUAUAUCCUACAGGAAACUUAGCAUCAAGAUAUGAAGACCAGGCUGCUUUAAGUGUGAUGGUCCCUGAGCACACUGAAGAAAAAUUGAUGAAAAAAUGAG
rnacentral:lncRNA from 1 species